rnacentral:rRNA from 1 species
CCUACGGGACGCAGCAGUAGGGAAUCUUCCACAAUGGACGAAAGUCUGAUGGAGCAACGCCGCGUGAGUGAAGAAGGGAUUCGGCUCGUAAACCUCUGUUGUUAGUGAAGAAAGAUAGAGGUAGUAACUGGCCUCUUUUUGACGGUAAUUAAUUAGAAAGUCACGGCUAACUACGUGCCAGCAGCCGCGGUAAUACGUAGGUGGCAAGCGUUGUCCGGAUUUAUUGGGCGUAAAGAGAGAGCAGGCGG